rnacentral:lncRNA from 10 species
UUUAAUUUACUUAUAUGAAAUUUUGCUGUAGAUCUUAUUCAGUUUCUUCCUGUUUUCACUCACAAACUGUUCUCAAUAUCUAUCUAUGUUGUAUAUUUGUCCCAUUUGUUAAUCCUAUCUGUUGGGCAAAUUCUCACCUCAUUUUCUUUUAGAGUUGAACUUCUAGAUUGCCUUCCGCUCACCACCUCAAUGAGCAAUACAGUGGUGAAUGGUAUGUGCCCUUUAACGGGCAUGUGUGAGAAUUUCUCUGGGAGACACAUGGGUUUUCAGGGUCAUAGGACAUAAAUACUGGCAGGUUGCUUUUCUGAAUGGUUCAUCAACUUACACUCAGUGUAUGAGGGGUCUCAUUCACCAAUCAGUAGUAUCCUCCCUUCCAACUUUUUCUCGUCCUGAUGGGUACAGAAUAAAAUUUCAUGUUUGCUUUAAUUCAUAUAUAUGUUAUUAACAACCAGUGUGUGAGCAUCUCUUAAGUAAGAUCUUAGCCAUUCAACUUUCCCUUCUGUGAAUUGCCUUUGUUUCAAAGACAAAAAAAGCAGAUCAUUCAAUUUUCCCAUAAGCUAUAUGGGAAAUCCUGUAGGAACUGUGAAAAAAAUGUAUCUCACCUCUUUCUGUUGUCCAACUUACACUUCUCUUUAAAUAAUGUUACAGGCUGUCGAUAAGCUGAUAGAUUUGUUCAUUCCUUUUAGAAAUAUGUUCAGGCAAUAUAUAAUAUGUUCAGGAUGUAGAGGGGGGUAUAAGUCACAUGAUACCUGCCCUCAUGGUUUUCCUGAAUUGAUGGAAGAGAUGGGCCAGUGUUUUGUUGUCUUACUUUCUGGAGGAGUAAACGUCAAGGCGUGAGCUAUUCAUACUUCGAUAAAUGAUGAACUUCCUCUGCCACAUUUCCUUUUCUCAGUUGAAUUUGCAGUGUCCCUGGUAACUUUGAAGUAUGAAUUGCUGGUAACAACUAACAAAAGGACACAUUUACUGCUUCCAAUGUUUAUUAACUCAAAAACUCACUGAGGCAUCCUUUCUUAAAAAAAAAGGAAGAACAACUUAAGUACCAAAAUACUUUGCCAGUAUAUGCCCUCCUUAGAAAGAAAGAAGAGAGAGAGAGCUGUAAUCUAAUCCUCCCUCCACUCAUUCUGUAGUUGAGGGAAUGAAGUUCAGAGGGAUAUAAAUAAUCCUCAGUUUAGAGCCUUCUGGAAAUCUUCCCAAUACACCACCGUGGUUCUAUUUUUUUAAUGUUGUUUUCAUUUGAAACUAGAUUCAUGCAGCUUGCUCAUGUGAAAUGAGAAUGAAAAAAAAAAAAAGUUAGGGUCUGGAAAGGAAGAGAAGGAUUAAAUAAGGAGUUCUGCUAGGAUGUAGCCAUCAUAAUCUAAUACACCACAGGCAGCCCUGCUCCAGGGAAUCCUGACUUUCAAGGACUGGAGCUCUUGAGGACAGCUGGCACUCAGCUGGUCAUAUUGCCGGCCUCACAUAGCCUCACUGUCUCCCAUAAACUCAACUGAUGCUAUUUAGACUUUUUAAAAAAAAUUGCGGCACAGGAAAUUUUUCCUCAAUGCAUGUGAGAGCUGUUUGAUUCCCCAAAGAAAAAGACUUGGCAAGUCAGUUGUGAGGAAAGGAGAAAGACUGAACACAUGAGCACAUUUUAACAAUGUCCAAGUGUAAGUUUUAUUGCCAACGGUAGACAUGCACUGGAAUUUGAAUCCCAGCCCAAAUGCUAAAUGCGGUUGUUUUUAUCUAUGUGGAGAACAUUGCGGUUUUCUUCUGAGGUGAGUCACUUCGUUGUGAUUUAUGCAGUUAGUAAAUGUAUCUGAUUUGUUUUUGUUAGUGAGUUCAAAGUUUGUUUUUGCUUUUUAUUUGUUUUUGUUUCAUUUUGUUUUUUUUCCCAGUGAAGAAACUAUCAGGUCUGGUAAGAAUAAGAGGAAACAAAAUGUUAUUGGCAUGCUCAAUAAUGAUAAAGCCAAGAUGUCACCUGCCAGUACAAUGAAGAGGGACUGGGGUCUUGGCACUAAAAGUCUCCCUGAAUUGCCAUCAUGUCAUGAAAAAUACUUUGUUUUAAACUUAAUGGAAUGGAUUGUCAUUUUGGUGGAUUUUUGCCAGUGAAGAAUUUAUCAGACUCAAUAGCCUCCAUCACUUGGCAGGACAGAAAGGCCUCGAAAGCCUCUUUCAGUAUCUCUGAGCAUACCUAACAUUUAGAAAGGUAGGCCUGUGUAGCAAGUGUGAAAGUGUUCCUCUCCAUGCCCUUACGGCUUUACUCAACCAUGUUUCCUCUUUUAUCAUUUAUUGGAAAAACCUUUUACUAUCUCUUCUUACUUCCUUUCCUUUGUUAGCUACAAAGGGAAGAUUUUCUUUUGCAAAUCCUUAGUAAUUAAAUGAGCACUUCAGUGGCUGUAGCCCUCAAUGGCCUGUUUCCUAGGUUUUGCCUUUGACAGUCAUAUUUUGCAAAGGCCCCUGAGAUGACUCUGCAUCUUCCCCUACUCAACGCUAAACCAACUGAAGCCCGUGCUCACUGCAUGAAGGAGGAAAAGAUUCAUUAAGGGCACUUCAUUAAGAGGCUGAAAUGGGAAGCUCUAAAUGCGCCUGAACCAACUACAAUCCAGAGAAGCUGUCUAUUAGGAGUGCCACAAAGACAGUUUCGGAAGCUAAACUCCAGCUCCAGUGCAUCGGAUUAGGAAGAGUGAUGGGAUUAGUGUUUAAUGACUUGGGGCAGGAGACAAAGGGAAUUUCGACAAAGAGGCUUAGAUAUGGAAGAAUUAACACUCUGUAUUCCAACCAGGCCUCUGAUGACUUCCAGCAUUCUUUUCAGACUCAAAAGCCAAGGGAAGGGAAUAAAAAAAAAAAAAAGAUGUGCAAAGCUUUAAUACUUUUCUAACUUUUUUUAUUGCAACAACAAUACAGAGGAAAUAAAAGAACCCUAUUCACUCCUUUGGACUUGAAACCUCUUUUAAAAAUAAGCAUCUACAAUUGUAUAAUUAGCCCCAAGGUGAGCUUGCCCAGGGCCUCAAACAUGUGCCAGAAUGCUUCUCUGCUUCCUAAUGCUAGGGCAAGUCACAAACUGAUGUGGACACUAAAGCAAAACCUAUGGUAGCAGAGGCCCAGCUAAGUGGCUGUACAAGAUUUUUUUCUCUCCAUGGCUGUUUAUGUUACAGGUGCAACUGAAGGAACAGAGAAACUGUGUAAUUGUAAAACCUCCUUGUGGCCCCACAUGGCUCAUACUCAAAUGAUUCCAGUGUCUAUGGCCUGAGAAGUGCUUCAUGAAAUGAGGAACAGUGCCUCAAGUCAGAGAUUGGCAUGGUGAGUCGCCGGGAGGUGGAAAAGAGGCACAGCUUCAUUGAAGCUACAGUUGGCUGCAAGGAACCAUUUCAAAUCAUCUUAGUUCUACGGGGCCAUUCAGGUGGCAAAGGCCCAGGUAACAUUUGAUCAAGUUGCUACAGGGCUUGGACCUACUUUUAUUGCCCCUUACUUUUCCCACUAACAUUUUUGCUUGAAAUAUCGAUGUUUUUUUGGUGCAGCAAAACUCUUUUCCCACAGCUAAAUUGAAGUAGGGCAUAUGUGCUUCCCUCACCUCGCUCCCAGUCCCUCUUGACCCCGAAAUGGUCUAGCAGCCUGUGCUUUGUUAAACUGAAAAUGUGUAGAAAUUUUUAUAGAGAUAUUCAGCUAUAUAAAUAGCUUUGAAAUUUGUCAUAACUUUAAAAACAGGUCAAAAAGGAAAUUGAACAGCUAGUGAGUUUCUGUCUUAGUCCGUUUUGUGCUGCUAUAACAGAAUACCAUAAACUAGGUAAUUUAUAAACAAUAGAAGUUUAUUUGUCUCAAUGGCCAACAAGCAUAUGGAAAAAUGUUCAACAUCACUAAUUAUCAGGGAAAUACAAAUCAAAACCACAGUGCGAUACCACGUAACUUCUGCAAUAAUGGUCAUAAUCAAAAAAUAAUAAUAAAUAAAUAGAUGUUGGCAUGGAUAUGGUGAAAAGGGAACACUUUUACUGGGUUGGUGGGAAUGUAAACUAGCACAACCACUAUAGAAAACAGUAUGGAGACUCCUUAAAGAACUAAAAGUAGACCUACCAUUUGACCUAGCAACCCCACUGCUAUGUAUCUGCUCAGAAGUAAAGAAGUCAUUAUACAAAAAAGACACUUGUUACAUGCAUGUAUAUAGCAGUACAAUUGCCCAAAUGCCCAUCAAUCAAUGAGUGGAUAAAAAAUGUUAUAUACAUACAUAUAUGUGUGUGUAUAUAUACAUAUACAUAUACACACACACACACAUACACACACACACACACACACACACACAUAUACCAUGGAAUACUGCUCAGCCAAAGAAAGGAAUGAAAUAAUGGGAUUUGCAGCAACCUGGAUGGAAUUGGAGGCUAUUAUUCUAAGUGAAGUAACUCAGGAAUAGAUAACCAAACAUACAUGUUCUCACUCAUAUGUGGGAACUAAGCUAUGAGAAUGCAAAGGCAUAAGAAUGAUAUAUUGGAGUUUGGAGACUCAAAGGAAAGAGUGGGGGAGAGGGAGGGAUAAAAGACUACACAUUGGGUACAGUAUACAAUGCUUGAGUGAUGGGUGCAACAAAAUCUCAGAAAUCCCCACUAAUGAGCAUAUUCAUGUAACAAAAUACCAUCUGUUCCCCAAAACUUAUUGAAAUAAAAAAUAAAAAAUUAAUGAUAAUAACAAUAAAAAGAAGUUUAUUUGUCUUAUGUUUCUGGAGGCCAGGAAGUCCAAGAUCAAGGGGUUGCAUCUAGUGGGGGUCUUCUUGCUGAGUCAUAACCUGGCAGAAGACAUCACAUGAAGAGAGAAUGGAUGAGAGCCAGCAAGCAAGAGAGGGCCAAACUUGCUUUUAUAACAAACCCAUUCCUGACAUCAUGAACUUACCCCUGCCAUAAUGACAUUAAUCCAUUCCAGGGGGCAAAGCUCUCAUGACCUAAUCACCUCUCAAAAGUGCCACCUCUCGAUGCUGUUGCAUUGGGGAUUAAGUUUCCAACACAUGAACUCUGGGGAGAUGCAUUCAAACCUUAGCAGUUUAA